AAGUCGUAACAAGGUUUCCGUAGGUGAACCUGCGGAAGGAUCAUUAUCGAAGAUACCCUCUUCAUAUACACACUGUGAACCGUCGCCCUUUUGGGGGCGCAUACAUACAAACUCUAUUAGUCAUAACGAAUGUCAUACCCGCGCAAGCGGUCAUAAAAAGUAUAACUUUUAGCAACGGAUCUCUUGGCUCUCGU
rnacentral:misc_RNA from 1 species